CAAAUCGUGAGGCUGACAGUUUUUUAGCUUAUUUUUGAAUUUCUUUUUCCUUUUUAAUUGCCCUCAGUUUUUAAAGAAAUAACAAAAUUGCCAUUUUUUUUUAUGCCACUUCCCUGUAAAUGUCUGAACUGUUGGGUCCCACCAAGAAAGAAAAAAACAUGCCUUCUCUUGCCCUUUCCCGUAAAUUCCUGAACUGUUGGGUCCCUUAAAAAACAAAAAGCAAAAGAUAGUGGAAAGCAAUGUUACAUUUAGCAACAUCUGGAAAAGGAAAUGAUUUCAUUCAGUAGAGGGCUAGAGGCAGCAAGCAGAAGAGGAAAACCAAAAUUUUCUUCCUCCCAUUUUGGCAGUUCGGCUUCGGCAGUAAAAAGGAAGAAACCGUUUUUUUCUUCAACACAGCUUUGUCAUGUGUUUGGUCAGCUUCUUGGGCAACAAGGUUAAACGUUAAGAUAAAAAUCAAAAGGGUCGAACAGUAAGAUGCGAGGGCUCCGACAGAAUAAUUGAGAGGAACUACAUGCAUGACUACGUGUAUACCCAAACCGUCAAACGAUACUAAACGAACAGUAAAACGCUCUCUUACUGGUUUUGCGUCAACGGCGCCGCUACUGCAGCGGUGGUGGGAACCGGCGACGAGCUACGGUGAUUUUAUCCGUAAUUAAAGAUGGAGGAUGUUUGACCGUUAAUGUUUGGAAAAGUCAAUCACGCAGAUUUCAACAAGUAAAGUUGUUUGGCUUGUUGUGUUUGUUCGUUUCAUGAGUGGCUGACAAUGAGUAUCACGCAUGAUUGCUGCUCGGCAAUUCAAAUUAGAUGAGAGCAAGAAGACUAUAUUUCAUUUGGAUUCAUGAACUAGCUUUGACCUGGAUUUGCUGAGCUCAGAAGGCAUGUAGGAACGUCAUCUUUAAUUUUCAUGAGAGACGAGGAUGAAGGUUGCUGUGGAUGCUGCUCGUGGACUCUCCUUUUUACAUGAUUCUAACCCUCAGGUUAAUUAUAUAUCGUGAGUUCAUGACUUUAAAGUAAGCUUCAAACAUCCUCAUACAUGCUGUACGCUUGAGAAUUUAUCUUCUUUUUCUUAUAAUUUGUGACAUAACUCUUCUUGGACUAUAGAUGAAUUCAUAACUCUAAUGUAGGCUUGGCCGUUACAUGCAAAGUUUCAUGGUCCAGGGUGGGUCAACGGUUGUUGUUGCUUCACCUUGUCACUUUCUUGGGUGGAAUGGAAACGUGGAUUAUUCCCUUGUUCAAAAUAGUUUUUUUUUUGUAACACUGUUCAAAAGAGUUAGUUUGUGAUGCUGGCUGGCAAUUCAAAAUUUUUGAAUGGAAAGAAGAAUUCAAGAGUUUUUUUGGCCCAUGAAAAGAUUUGGACGAAACAUAUUAAGGAAUUACUGGGCAUUUUCCUCAAAAAAAAAAAAAAUUGUGCGCACGGAGCUCAAGGAAAUAAUUUGCCCGACUAUGUAUAGUAUUUUUAUGGCUAUAUGCUUUGUUCCGUCUUUUUUUUACUAUUUUACUUUUCUCUUGAAAUUUGAUAAUUUGAUCAGUAGACCAACUUCUUUCCUAUGAUUAAAGAAGAUAUAUAUAUAUAUAUAAAUCUAAAUGUAUUACUUACAAAAGCUUGGAAGGGAGAACAGCUUGGAAGUCAACAGCUUGGAAGAGAGAACAACUUGGAAGCCAUCAGCUUGGAAGAGAGAACAACUUGGAAGCCAACAACUUGGAAUGGAGAACAACUUAGAAGCCAACAGAUUGGAAGGGAGAACACGUGAGUGUCAAAAAGCACAGUAAACAGCAUCCCUUCUAUGGCUUUCUGUGUUUCGGGGUGAUGACGUGAAUUUUGACUUCGAAAGUAUUCGCUAUUGCCAUCCGAUGAGCAACACAUGCAAGUUGUCUUGAGUCAACGCAUGGCUCAAGGCAAGAAAACUAAAUUUUUUUGCUUGGAUUCUCUGCCAAACGUCUCCACUAUGGUCUAUGGGCUUUCCAGAAAAAAAAAAAAAAAAAAGUCUCCACUAUGGCAGAAAAUGGGGAGCCAACAAUUCUUUAAGAGUUUAAUAGAUUAUUCUUCACCAACAUUUUGUUACCUAAAAUUAAUAAUUUUUUUUUAGUGUUUAUUUAAAAUAAUUUGGGAGGACUCUAAGUGGUAGGCUACAAGACAAAAAUUUUGGGGCCCCAAGGAUUUUGGUUUUUGAUUAAAGAUAAUGUUGCCUCUAAUAUGAACAUAAUAUUGCUCACAUGAGAUGGGCCCCAAGGAUUUUGGUUUUUGAUUAAAGAUAAUGUUGCCUCUAAUAUGAACAUAAUAUUGCUCA